AAUAAGCGGAGGAAAAGAAACUAACAAGGAUUCCCUUAGUAGCUGCGAGCGAACAGGGAAAAGCUCAGCAUAAAAUCUUGUAACUUGACAGUUAUCAAGAGAUGUUAUGUUUAGGAAGUUUUUUCUAUCCUAUAAUCUACGCUUGGUCCAAGUCCACCUUGAAUGGGGCAUUAACCAUAGAGGGUGCCAGUCCCGUAGUGACAAGUGUCUACAAAUGAUUAUAGGUAAAACUUUCCUUAGAGUCGGGUUGCUUGUAAAUGCAGCUCUAAGUGGGUGGUAAACUCCAUCUAAAGCUAAAUAUAACCACGAGACCGAUAGCGAACAAGUACCAUGAGGGAAAGUUGAAAAGAACUUUGAAGAGAGAGUUCAAGAGUACGUGAAACCGUUCAGGGGUAAACGGGAGAAAUCUGAAAAUCUGAAGGAAGUGAUUCCACGUAAAAUCUAUUUUGUACGAUAUAUUAUGAUCGAUGAUUUUUAAACUCCUUGCAUACAAUUUUAUUGUAUGUGGAGGGUCUCGUUUAAUUUCACGAUUCAUAUAUAUUCGAUAAUGCAAGAUGGUUUACCGCAUUUCAACCUUCCUGAAUUUUAUUCAACGUCGCGAC
rnacentral:rRNA from 1 species